AGUGAACGCUGGCGGUAGGCCUAACACAUGCAAGUCGAACGGCAGCACAGUAAGAGCUUGCUCUUACGGGUGGCGAGUGGAGGACGGGUGAGGAAUACAUCGGAAUCUACUUUUUCGUGGGGGAUAACGUAGGGAAACUUACGCUAAUACCGCAUACGACCUACGGGUGAAAGCAGGGGAUCUUCGGACCUUGCGCGAUUGAAUGAGCCGAUGUCGGAUUAGCUAGUUGGCGGGGUAAAGGCCCACCAAGGCGACGAUCCGUAGCUGGUCUGAGAGGAUGAUCAGCCACACUGGAACUGAGACACGGUCCAGACUCCUACGGGAGGCAGCAGUGGGGAAUAUUGGACAAUGGGCGCAAUCCUGAUCCAGCCAUACCGCGUUGGUGAAGAAGGCCUUCGUGUUGUAAAGCCCUUUUGUUGGGAAAGAAAAGCAGCAGGUUAAUACCCCGCUGUUCUGACGGUACCCAAAGAAUAAGCACCGGCUAACUUCGUG
rnacentral:rRNA from 1 species